GACGAACGCUGGCGGCGUGCUUAACACAUGCAAGUCGAGCGGUAACAGGUGUAGCAAUACAUGCUGACGAGCGGCGAACGGGUGAGUAAUGCUUCGGAAUCUGCCCAAUGGUGGGGAAUAACCAGCCGAAAGGUUGGCUAAUACCGCAUACGUCCUACGGGAGAAAGCAGGGGAUCGUAAGACCUUGCGCCGAUGGAUGAGCCGAAGCCGGAUUAGCUAGUUGGUAGGGUAACGGCCUACCAAGGCGACGAUCCGUAGCUGGUCUGAGAGGACGACCAGCCACACUGGGACUGAGACACGGCCCAGACUCCUACGGGAGGCAGCAGUGGGGAAUAUUGGACAAUGGGGGAAACCCUGAUCCAGCGACGCCGCGUGUGUGAAGAAGGCCUGCGGGUUGUAAAGCACUUUUAGUGGGGAUGAAAAGCUCAGGGCUAAUACCUCUGGGUCUUGACCUAACCCACAGAAAAAGCACCGGCUAACUCUGUGCCAGCCGCCGCCGUAAGAC
rnacentral:rRNA from 1 species